rnacentral:rRNA from 1 species
UACAGAGGUCUCAAGCGUUGUUCGGAUUCAUUGGGCGUAAAGGGUGCGUAGGCGGCGUGGUAAGUCGGGUGUGAAAUCUCGGAGCUUAACUCCGAAACUGCAUUCGAUACUGCCGUGCUUGAGGACUGGAGAGGAGACUGGAAUUUACGGUGUAGCGGUGAAAUGCGUAGAUAUCGUAAGGAGGACCAGUGGCGAAGGCGGGUCUCUGGACAGUUCCUGACGCUGAGGCACGAAGGUCAGGGGAGCAAACGGG